UCCUACAGAGAAGAAGGCCUCUGCAGGCAGGAUGUUUGCAUCACAGCUGGUUCCAGAACCAAAGGCCUCCUGUACCUUGAACUCACUUAUGUUAUCAGCGAAUGCACACACUUAACUUUGAGUGGGAAAUCCUAGUGAGAAUUUAUUCUGCCUCAGCUGGAUCACUGACUUUAACUAUCCUGUGAGCAUUUUAUCACACAGUGCAGAGAAGACAGGAGAGUUUGCCCUUCAGGCCAUGAUCUGCACUACCUCCCUCUAGCUAUGAGUGACAUCCUUCACAACCAUGGAUGAUUCAAGUAAACAUAGCUGAAGGAGACCACGACUUUGCUCAAAUGCUUGGCACGGCCAUCCCCCUGGAAACAGAGUAUUUUUGCCUUUCUCAUGUUUACACAUGAAAGUUUGUAGUCACACUUAUGCACUUAUCAAACACACAGGCAAUCUGCAAUUACCUGGCCGACUGGAGCAUUCGGUCCUAUCUCGAAAAUAAAUGUUGGAGGGAGGCAUAAAUGUGUGCCUGAUCAAGUGAGAGGUCCCUGGGGUGUGGACUCCAAUUUUAUAUAAUGAUGUUCAGCCCCUAUCUGAUGCCACUCUGUGUGUUAUCAGCCUCAGAAGACAGCCUAGGCUCUUUGCUAUCUUCUCUAACAGCUGUCCUAUCAGACAAAUGAUUUUAUCUCAUCGGCAAAGUAGAAAUGAAGGAAAUCACUCUUAGUCCUCUACAAUUCUUAAAUUGUCUGCUAUAGACAAUACUAGGUGGUCAAGCUAUCUUGCUCACAA